GAUGAACGCUGGCGGCGUGCCUAAUACAUGCAAGUAGAACGCUGAAGGAAGGAGCUUGCUCUUUCCGGAUGAGUUGCGAACGGGUGAGUAACGCGUAGGUAACCUGCCUGGUAGCGGGGGAUAACUAUUGGAAACGAUAGCUAAUACCGCAUAACAGUAGAUGUUGCAUGAUAUCUACUUAAAAGGUGCAAUUGCACCACUACCAGAUGGACCUGCGUUGUAUUAGCUAGUUGGUGAGGUAACGGCUCACCAAGGCGACGAUACAUAGCCGACCUGAGAGGGUGAUCGGCCACACUGGGACUGAGACACGGCCCAGACUCCUACGGGAGGCAGCAGUAGGGAAUCUUCGGCAAUGGACGGAAGUCUGACCGAGCAACGCCGCGGGAGUGAAGAAGGUUUUCGGAUCGUAAAGCUCUGUUGUAAGAGAAGAACGAGUGUGAGAGUGGAAAGUUCACACUGUGACGGUAUCUUACCAGAAAGGGACGGCUAACUACGUG
rnacentral:rRNA from 1 species